AUGAAGGAAACCACUGUGGAGAAGUAUGGAAAUGAAGCUGGUUGGGACCAACUUCCAAGAGAACUUUUGCUAGGUCAAAGUGAGAUGCAAGUUGAGUGUGAUCGUGCUGGUAAAAUUAUUAAGCGACAGGAGGCUGCGUUUCCAAGGAGCAAGUAUGAAGAAUAUAUUUUGAUAAACAAUCACGCAGCUGUUUGGGGAUCAUGGUGGAACAAUCACCAAUGGGGCUAUAAGUGCUGCAUGCAGACUACAUAA